GAUGAACGCUGGCGGCGUGCCUAAUACAUGCAAGUCGAGCGAACAGACGAGGAGCUUGCUCCUCUGACGUUAGCGGCGGACGGGUGAGUAACACGUGGAUAACCUACCUAUAAGACUGGGAUAACUUCGGGAAACCGGAGCUAAUACCGGAUAAUAUAUUGAACCGCAUGGUUCAAUAGUGAAAGACGGUUUUGCUGUCACUUAUAGAUGGAUCCGCGCCGCAUUAGCUAGUUGGUAAGGUAACGGCUUACCAAGGCAACGAUGCGUAACCGACCUGAGGGGGGGGUCGGCCACACUGGAGCUGGGACACGGUCCAGGCUCCUACGGGAGGCAGCAGUAGGGAAUCUUCCGCAAUGGGCGAAAGCCUGACGGAGCAACGCCGCGUGAGUGAUGAAGGUCUUCGGAUCGUAAAACUCUGUUAUUAGGGAAGAACAAAUGUGUAAGUAACUAUGCACGUCUUGACGGUACCUAAUCAGAAAGCCACGGCUAACUACGUG
rnacentral:rRNA from 1 species